rnacentral:rRNA from 1 species
UACGGGGGAGCAAGCGUUGUUCGGAUUUACUGGGCGUAAAGGGCGCGUAGGCGGCCACCGCAAGUCGACUGUGAAAUCUCCGGCUUAACCCGGAAAGGUCAGCCGAUACUGCGGGCUAGAGUGCAGAAGGGGCAACUGGAAUUCUCGGUGUAGCGGUGAAAUGCGUAGAGAUCGUAAGGAAGACCAGUGGCGAAGGCGAGUUUCUGGACAGUUACUGACGCUGAGGCACGAAGGCCAGGGGAGCAAACGG